GGUCAUCCCGAGAAUUCUUUGUGCUGACCACUCUACUGCCGGCUCCGAAACCCCUUACCCACUGCGCGGAUACUCCGCCAAGAGAACUGCACUGUGAAAGGGACCUCGGAGACCAUCUAACGUGAUCUAGAGCCAGCGGGUUGCACAAUGGAGAAGGCACCCGGCCCUGAGUCCACGGGCAUAGCUUUAGACAUAUGCCAGGUCUGUGACCCUGGGCAAGCCGCUGUUACACCUCCCCCACCCCCCUCACCUCCACCUGCCUCCGUUUCCUCAUUAAUACAAUAUAACGUGCUUUGCAAAUCUUAGAUUAUAUUGCUAAUAUACUACCUAAGAAUUUCCUGUAAAACAUGUCCAGAUAGCUUCCUGUUAGGAAGAGAUAGAAUCUGUCUCUGGUUUCCACCCAAUAAACCAAGCUGAUCAGACCAAAGA